rnacentral:misc_RNA from 1 species
UCAAACUUGGUCAUUUAGAGGAAGUAAAAGUCGUAACAAGGUCUCCGUUGGUGAACCAGCGGAGGGAUCAUUAUAGAGUUUUUAAAACUCCCAAACCCGUGUGAACAUACCUGUCUCGUUGCCUCGGCGCGGUUUUUUAUGAGCCCGCCGGCGGCCCUCACAAACUCUGUUUAAUAUAAAGGUUAUCUGAGCGUCAUUUAAAAAAUAAGUCAAAACUUUCAACAACGGAUCUCUUGGUUCUGGCAUCGAUGAAGAACGCAGC